AUUUCCUACGGGGGGCAGCAGUGAGGAAUAUUGGUCAAUGGGCGAGAGCCUGAACCAGCCAAGUCGCGUGAAGGAUGACGGCCCUACGGGUUGUAAACUUCUUUUGUCAGGGAGCAAUUGAGUCCACGUGUGGGCUUAGCGAGAGUACCUGAAGAAAAAGCAUCGGCUAACUCCGUGCCAGCAGCCGCGGUAAUACGGAGGAUGCGAGCGUUAUCCGGAUUUAUUGGGUUUAAAGGGUGCGCAGGCGGGAGAUCAAGUCAGCGGUAAAAUGUCGGGGCUCAACCCCGGCCGGCCGUUGAAAAUGG
rnacentral:rRNA from 1 species